UACGGAGGGUGCAAGCGUUAUUCGGAAUCAUUGGGCGUAAAGGGCGCGUAGGCGGCCUGGUAAGUCAGAUGUGAAAGCCCGGGGCUUAACCCCGGAAGUGCAUUUGAUACUGUUAGGCUUGAGUAUGGGAGAGGGAAGUGGAAUUUCUGGUGUAGAGGUGAAAUUCGUAGAUAUCAGAAGGAACACCGGUGGCGAAGGCGACUUCCUGGACCAAUACUGACGCUGAGGCGCGAAGGCGUGGGUAGCGAACAGG
rnacentral:rRNA from 1 species